rnacentral:lncRNA from 1 species
CCGUGAUAGGCAUGUGGGACAUCGGGACGUGCCUGAUUCUUCUCAAUCAUCUCGUCCUUUACCUCCUACACCACCGCCUCCACAACCUUCUGAUGCUACGGGGGACAUCCUUCGGCAUCUUGAAGCCAUGGAUUUGCGCAUGACCCGAUGGCAGGAUGGCAUGCAAGUACAAAUGAAUCAUCUACAAUCCACCAUCUUUGACUAGUUUCAUUAUCAGAGUGCUUGCAUGGCGGUCAUGACAUCUGCACACCCCGAGCUCACCUUCCCCCCACAGUCAUCGUUUCCACCUAAUUCACACCCUCCCGCUCCACUUGAUGGCGAUGAAGACAGUUGAUGUCUUCCCCGAGGUAUUUCUCUUCCCUUUCUUUCAAUUUCACAUUGAGGGCAAUAUGUUGUUUAAGUUUGGGGGUGUCUUACUUUCACUUAGUUGUUAGUUGUGUCUAACAUUUUCUUUAUUGUUUUUGUUGUGUUGCAUUAGUGUUCCAAGUAUGUUGUGCGUGUUAAUUUACUUUGUGUGAAAAAAAAUUUAAAAAAAAUUUUGCAUUAUUUUAUUUCACAUGCUUGUAUGAGUUGAAUAACAUUAUUAGCAAUGAUGAAUAUAUUUGGAAUGUGGAUCAGUUGUGGAUUAUGGAUGAGUUAGUUGCUUGAAUUAAAGUGUUACUUACCCUUGCAGAUUAUUGUAACAUUUAUGCACGUGAAUUGAAUAUAGCGGCAAACAAGAAUGAGUUGAUUCAUAAUUAGAUUUAGGCUGAAUUAAUGACCCUAGAAAUUGAAUCCAAACAGCCACUUGUAUAACAGUAUUCACAUCCCUUAACCUACCUUAGGAUAGUUUGGAUGGGCAAACUGUUGUAGGAAAGCAUGGACGUGGGUGUGGAUUCCGUGUGUGCCAAAUUCUGUGUGGAUUGUCUGAGACCAAUGAGAUGAAAAUUGAGUAAACACUUUUAGUUAAAGGCCAAUUUUCGAGAAUAUGUGUUUAAUAAGGGGCAUUGCACUAAUUAAAAAAAAAUCCCUAUGAAGACAACCUUAAAAAGCUUAUUGUGAAGCGUCUCUUCGUAGCAUUUAUGACUUGAGUGAUUAAGCCUGUAAGGGUUUAAAACCUGAUGCCCUAAAGUCGUUUGGCUUGGGAGUCAUUGGCCUAAAGCUCGCUAUAUGGGUCAUUUAGAAAGCUUAAGGGAGAGACAAUCGCACAAAGAUUAGUUAAAAGAAAAGUCGUUUUUAAGCUUAAUUAAGCCUUGAACACCUAUUUUAAAGGAGUAGGCUUUUGGCAAAGGGUUAGUAACUUGGUUGAUUCUUGGAGGUUGAAGCAGUCAAAAAUAGGAGAAUUCAUACUUACUGAUAUGUCGAACUACAAUUAGUAAAUUCCAACCAAAUUUUAGAGGUGUAAGAAAUUAGUAUUGAAAAUCAACUUUACGUACACCUUGGGAAGAAAAGAGAAAAUAAGUUUGGGGAUGUGUGAAUCCCACGAGCGAAGUAAGGAGAUAAUUGACUUCUGAGGGCGGGAGUUGAAUCAACAUACAAAUGUCUGGCGUUAUAUUCGAUUCUUCACACACGCACGCAUAUGAUCUGUAAUGGGUGGGUAAGGAGCUACCUUUUGCAAAAUAACUUUGAAAUACUUCAUAAACUCGAUCUCACAUUUCAAUGUUGAGCAAUAAAAACAUGUUGUCCAACUAAAUUAUGCAUUUAAAUUCUUUGGCAGCAUUUGUGUUUGUGUUUGGUAAUUAUUGUUUAUUAAUUGUGUUUGCUUGAGGACAAGCAAUGAACUAAGUUUGGGGGAGUUUGAUGAGUGUAAUUCACUCAUUAAACAUACGCCUCUAAAUCACGGGUUUUAGUUUGUUCUUGAGCACUUUUGAACGUUUUGAUGUGUGUGUUCGUGUUGUCUUGCAGCUAAAUCAACAUUCGAGAAAACACCAUAAUUGGGAGCUUGUGAUGAAUCUAAAUGGUGGUCAUAAAAUGGGGGCAUAAAUUAGAGAUAAGAAAAGAAGAUUACAAUGGAAAAUAAGUUUAGAAGGUGAAUGAUUCAAGCAAGAAGCAGCUUGUUAGGUGCCACGACGUGGCGGCCAACAAAAGGAGAAAGUCAGCAGGAAGCUAGGCGCCACGGCGCCCAGCGUGAAAACAAGAAGCAGAACAGCUGCUACCGUGGUGCCAGACUUGGGAGCCACGGCGCCAGAACCCAAUCACAACGCGGUGUUGCGGCGCCAGACACCCCCGUAUAUGCAAAGGUCAUGGAUCAAAGAGGGGUAACCCAAACUUCCUGUAGCUGGCUCGACUAGGAUGCGAAGAAUGCUGUUUUGAAUAACUCUGCCAACAUCAAUAGACUACCCCUUCUGAAUAUCAAAAUUCAGUAAGGCCCAUUCCUUGGUGAUCUCGCUGGUGUUGCUACUGGGGAUCAGUUUGAAUGAUAUGAAGUGGUGCCAAAUUUUACAGUUAGGUAUCAGACCAGAGGAAGGGAAGUGAGUUACAUCACUAGCUGAUCUUUUCCAUUCAGUAUCGAAGCGAGCUAUAGUGCGAAUUAUCUCAUCGGGAUCGACCCCCUCAUCACGUAGUCGAGAAUAGUCAUCAUUGAGUAUAUCUCGCGUGUGGUAGAACCUAUUAAUUGAAGCACUGUCAAACUUGAUCCAAAAAUCCCGGAAAAAACUUCGAAGUUCUCGUGUUCAUUGGCAUUGGCAUAAAAUUCUUUCACCAAAGGAAUCGAUGCAGCUGUAGGUUGCUUGAUAAACUUUUCCCAUCCCAAACCGUGUAUUUCAUCUGGCAAAAAAAUUUCAAAGUCCC